CCUACGGGAGGCAGCAGUAGGGAAUUUUCGUCAAUGGGCGCAAGCCUGAACGAGCGAUGCCGCGUGAGUGAAGAAGGCUUUCGGGUCGUAAAGCUCUGUUGCGGGGGAAAAAAGGCAGCAUCAGUAAAUGGGUGCUGACUGAUGGUGCCCCGCCAGAAAGUCACGGCUAACUACGUGCGAGCCGCCGCGGUAAUACGUAGGUGGUGAGCGUUAUCCGGAAGGAUUGGGCGUAAAGGGUGCGCAGGCGGUCCUGCAAGUCUGGAGUGAAACGCAUGAGCUCAACUCAUGCAUGGCUUUGGAAACUGGAGGACUGGAGAGCAGGAGAGGGCGGUGGAACUCCAUGUGUAGCGGUAAAAUGCGUAGAUAUAUGGAAGAACACCAGUGGCGAAGGCGGCCGCCUGGCCUGUUGCUGACGCUGAGGCACGAAAGCGUGGGGAGCAAAUAGGAUUAGAUACCCUGGUAGUC
rnacentral:rRNA from 1 species